rnacentral:misc_RNA from 1 species
AACCAUAGAAACCUGCGGAGUACCUGCGGAGGGAUCAUUACCGAGUGCGGGUCCUCGUGGCCCAACCUCCCACCCGUGACUAUUGUACCUUGUUGCUUCGGCGGGCCCGUGCCCGCCGGAGACCCCAACAUGAACCCUGUUCUGAAAGCUUGCAGUCUGAGUGUGAUUCUUUGCAAUCAGUUAAAACUUUCAGCAAUGGAUCU